GAUGAACGCUGGCGGCGUGCUUAACACAUGCAAGUCGAACGGAAAGGCCUCUGCUUGCAGGGGUACUCGAGUGGCGAACGGGUGAGUAACACGUGGGUGAUCUGCCCUGCACUUCGGGAUAAGCCUGGGAAACUGGGUCUAAUACCGGAUAGGACAAUGGUUUGGAUGCCGUUGUGGAAAGUUUUUCGGUGUGGGAUUAGCUCGCGGCCUAUCAGCUUGUUGGUGGGGUAAUGGCCUACCAAGGCGUCGACGGGUAGCCGGCCUGAGAGGGUGUACGGCCACAUUGGGACUGAGAGACGGCCCAGACUCCUACGGGAGGCAGAAGUGGGGAAUAUGGCACAAUGGGCGCAAGCCUGAUGCAGCGACGCCGCGUGGGGGAUGACGGCCUUCGGGUUGUAAACUCCUUUCGCUAGGGACGAAGAGAAAGUGACGGUACCUGGAGAAGAAGCACCGGCUAACUACGUG
rnacentral:rRNA from 1 species